rnacentral:lncRNA from 1 species
CCAUUGUAUCUAGAGCUGCCCCCUCUCGGUGCAAUAAAGCCUGGAACUAGUGCUGCAUCCACUAUCAGAGCUUCAGAAAUAGAGAAUUCCAGUGAUGCCACGGGCAAGCUUAAACGCUCUUCUUCGUCUCAGUCACCAGGACAGGUAUGUAAUACCGUUCUCCUUGGAAUCAUCUGCCUCGACACAUUCAUGCUAAUUUAUCCCUACAUUUGAUUGAUUUGCAUAGAUCCUGAAGCAUACGACCCGUUGCAGAGUUUGUGAAGAAACACGCUCGUCAAAAGGGGAUCCGGUUAACUUGUCCAGAAGCAUGAGGGUAAGGAUGAGCGAUCCGUUUUCAGGGAAGAUACCCUCUUCUUUUCUUUUCUUUUUUGAGGGGAAAAGAUACCCUCUUCGAGUGUAGUGUUGUUCGACGCCGAAGAUGAAAAAGUGAUCAAUAUCGAAUAAAGGUAAAGUGGCAUAAAUUAUAUUUGUAGACGGUGGUUUCACUCUUUUCGCAUUUAUGCAGUCCGUACUUGUACUUGAGGAUAUAUAACUGACCAUAUGGAGUAUUGCAGGCUUGCUUCAGGAGCUCCUGUUCUCAUCCACUAAUUAGAAACUCGGCUGCUUCGGUGCCAAUGCAAUGAGUUGGGGGCGCGGUCCGUUUUGGUUGCACUGUCAACUUUUUGUUUUGCCUUUUCUUUUUGGGUAAGCGGUCCCUUUUUCUUCUUUGUUUCGCUGUCAAUAAGUGUACAAGAAAUAACCUGAAGUCCUUGGUGCCGGUUUAGUAGCUAUGACUUCGCUGCUGGCAGUUGUUAGAAAAUGUAAGUGUAUCAGUAAUUCCUUUUCAAAAUAAUAAUAAUAGUGUUGUAGUACUAAGUUUGCUUUGAGGGUAAGUACGACUUGCCCUACUCUUUGAUCGUAUAGUUACUCAUAAGUGGAGUGGGAGAAGGGUGUAUAUAUUGUGCAAUGCAUGAUGAGAUUCAGAUCUCCCGGCCAGCCGCACUAGUGGUUAUUUCUUGACCCUAUCUACAUUAUUUCAGACUAGCAAAAGGCCCGUGCGUUGCAACGAAAAAAAAAUCACACGUG